rnacentral:rRNA from 1 species
UGGGGAAUAUUGCACAAUGGGCGCAAGCCUGAUGCAGCCAUGCCGCGUGUAUGAAGAAGGCCUUCGGGUUGUAAAGUACUUUCAGCGGGGAGGAAGGGAGUAAAGUUAAUACCUUUGCUCAUUGACGUUACCCGCAGAAGAAGCACCGGCUAACUCCGUGCCAGCAGCCGCGGUAAUACGGAGGGUGCAAGCGUUAAUCGGAAUUACUGGGCGUAAAGCGCACGCAGGCGGUUUGUUAAGUCAGAUGUGAAAGCCCCCGGCUCAACCGGGGAGGGUCAUUGGAAACUGGGAGACUUGAGUGCAGAAGAGGAGAGUGGAAUUCCAUGUGUAGCGGUGAAAUGCGUAGAUAUAUGGAGGAACACCAGUGGCGAAGGCGGCUCUCUGGUCUGUAACUGACGCUGAGGCUCGAAAGCGUGGGGAGCAAACAGG